AUCUAGCUGACGAGUCUCAAAUAGAACGAAACGUUUGUCCUUGAU
rnacentral:hammerhead_ribozyme from 1 species